rnacentral:rRNA from 1 species
GCUCAGUGAGGCCUUGGGAUUGGCUUAGGAGGGGUGGCAACGACCCCCCAGAGCCGAAAACUUGGUCAAACUCGGUCAUUUAGAGGAAGUAAAAGUCGUAACAAGGUUUCCGUAGGUGAACNUGCGGAAGGAUCAUUACCGAGUGAGGGCCCUUUGGGUCCAACCUCCCACCCGUGUUUAUUUACCUCGUUGCUUCGGCGGGCCCGCCUUAACUGGCCGCCGGGGGGCUCACGCCCCCGGGCCCGCGCCCGCCGAAGACACCCCCGAACUCUGCCUGAAGAUUGUCGUCUGAGUGAAAAUAUAAAUUAUUUAAAACUUUCAACAACGGAUCUCUUGGUUCCGGCAUCGAUGAAGAACGCAGCGAAAUGCGAUACGUAAUGUGAAUUGCAAAUUCAGUGAAUCAUCGAGUCUUUGAACGCACAUUGCGCCCCCUGGUAUUCCGGGGGGCAUGCCUGUCCGAGCGUCAUUGCUGCCCUCAAGCCCGGCUUGUGUGUUGGGCCCCGUCCUCCGAUUCCGGGGGACGGGCCCGAAAGGCAGCGGCGGCACCGCGUCCGGUCCUCGAGCGUAUGGGGCUUUGUCACCCGCUCUGUAGGCCCGGCCGGCGCUUGCCGAUCAACCCAAAUUUUUAUCCAGGUUGACCUCGGAUCAG